rnacentral:rRNA from 1 species
UUUCCGGUUGAUCCUGCCCGGAGGUCACUGCUAUGGGAAUUCGACUAAGUCAUGCAAGUUGAGGGCACCUUUUUAGGAGACCCAGCGAACUGCUCAGCAACACGUGGAUAAUCUGCCCACAGGACGGGGAUAAUCCCGGGAAACUGGGAAUAAUACCCGAUAGAUCAUUGGUACUGGAAUGUCCUUUGAUCUAAAUGCUCUUUCUACGCCUGUGGAUGAGUCUGCGUCCGAUUAGGCUGUUGUUGGGGUAACGGCCCAACAAACCUACGAUCGGUACGGGUCGUGAGAGCGAUUGCCCGGAGAUGGGAUCUGAGAUAUGAUCCUAGGCCCUACGGGGUGCAGCAGGCGCGAAAACUUUACAAUGUGGGAAACCAUGAUAAGGGAAUUCCCAGUGUUCCUACAUAGUAGGAACUGUUUAGGUGUGUAAAAAGCACCUAAUAGAAAGGGCCGGGUAAGACCGGUGCCAGCCGCCGCGGUAAUACCGGUGGCUCGAGUGGUGGCCGCUAUUAUUGGGUCUAAAGGGUCCGUAGCCGGUUUGGUCAGUCUUCCGGGAAAUCUGACGGCUUAACCGUUAGGCUUUCGGGGGAUACUACCAGGCUUGGGACCGGGAGAGGUAAGAGGUACUACGGGGGUAGGAGUGAAAUCUUGUAAUCCUCGUGGGACCACCAGUGGCGAAGGCGUCUUACCAGAACGGGUCCGACGGUGAGGGACGAAAGCUGGGGGCACGAACCGGAUUAGAUACCCGGGUAGUCCCAGCCGUAAACUAUGCUCGCUAGGUGUCAGGGACGGUGCGACCGUUUCUGGUGCCGCAGGGAAGCCGUGAAGCGAGCCACCUGGGAAGUACGGUCGCAAGGCUGAAACUUAAAGGAAUUGGCGGGGGAGCACUACAACGGGUGGAGCCUGCGGUUUAAUUGGAUUCAACGCCGGG